rnacentral:lncRNA from 1 species
CAACAAUGAGAAUAGGAGGGAGGACAAAAUGGUAACAGAUGCUGAAAAUAAAGCUAAUGAUGGGGCAAGUAAUGUCAAUAAUGAACAGAAGAAUGAAGGUCCUGCAGAUAUGGAGCAGGUACAAUUAUUGCCACUGGUAACUGUUGUCCGUACUAUGCUUAUAAUAAUAUAGUCAUUAUUUUCUACUUGCUAAAAGAAUUGUCAUUGGUAAACAGUCUCUAAUCCUUAAGUUUACUUUUUUGUUCUGCAUGCUUGCAUUUUGGAUUUUAGUGGAAAAUGUAAUUUCAAUUUGUAAUAGGGAAUUUGUUGGACGAUAAUACUUUGGAAAGAAUUUGCAAUAAAAUCCCAGAAACUAGGAAUAAUGGCUGGAGUGAUGGCGCGAAACUUUUGGUACUGAGUUUCUGUGAAAAAGGAUGUCACCUAGUGUGACUUUGUGAUACAAUUUAAAUCUUAGUUUUAUGGUUACAUACAUUCACGGGAUAUGUGCGUGUCUUUUAUUAUGGUCACUUCUUGAGCUAAUACUUAAAAAAAAAAAACUAGGCAUUCCCAUUUGUAGUGUUCCCAGAAGCUGUAUUCAUUGUGUGGACAUGGUUGAGGGUAUGGACAUAUAGUGUAAGAAUAUUUAGCGAACUUUCACCCUCAUUCACAUUAAAAUCAAGUCUGUUUAUUGUGAAUUUGUGAUAGUUUGAACAAUGGUCGUCUCCUAAAUAUCUGUCUUCAAUGUUAAGCUGCUUAUAACUUUGUAGUGAGUCAUUUUGGGCAGAAUAUUGAUAUCAACCAGAAUUGGGAAGCCCAAGUCUUUGAGAGUAUUUGAAAGCAGUUUCAUAUAGGGUCAAAUCUCUAUCCCCCUCUCUGUGUGUGUGAUUUGAUUUGCUAAGCUGUCACUGAAGUGUGUUUAAUAUACAAAUUAAAGUUUAAUACACUGACAGUGUAUUUACACAUCAUUAUGUAGGUCUGGUAGACGAAAUUACACCUGUUUUAAUGAUGUGUUAUAAAUAACAUCGCUCAUGUAUACACUUUGUGUAUCAAAGUUUAACUCUUAAUAUAAUUGUUUUAAUUAUUCCCAGUGUUUUUAAUAUUUCUUGUCAUGUUCUUUUUAUUUGGACAUGAUCUGAUUUGCUAACUGUUAGUGAAGUGAGUUUAUGUGGACAUGAUUCGAAAAUGCUAAGCUGUUUGUAAAGUGAGUUUAUGUGGACAUGAUUUGACAUGCUAAGCUGUUAAUGAAGUACCCGUUUGUGUGUGUAGGCCUGACUUUAUCAUUGCAGUUGCUAUGAAAGGGAAAAACCUCUCAAAACAGAUCUUGUUCUAACCUGUCACCCCCUAAAAACCAGGGAAAAAGAUUCUACUUAAUGGUUUGCUUCUCUUAUGUUGUUCUGUUUUCCGAACUUCAGGAGUAGGAAGUUGUGCAAGUUCAUUUAGCAACUGCGGAUGGUUGAAUUUGCAAUGCGUGGCUCAUUAUCUUUGUUGUCACAGUUCUGUAGGCACGACGCUUCUCUUCACUGGACAUUUGACAAUUGUUGUGGUGUAUCAGUAGAUCAUUGAUCAUUUUAUAUACCAAACUAACAAAUGGCGGGAUGCGGCGGAUAUUAUGUUUUAGUUCUGAAGGACAACAGCAGUAAGUGAUGAAUUUGUACUGGAAGAGAAAUAUAUGCACCAAACUGUUUUUUUUGUUUGCUGUAUUUCAGUGUCAAUGGAAUCAUGUUCAGCUUGAGGCUUUAUAACAGAUUGCAAUGACCAUCUAAUAUCUAUGAUAUUUCAUUUUAUUAUUGUUGUCGGAUCCAAAAAUAAAGGAAAUAAUAUUAACAAGAAUAAUCUUUAACAUUGUAUGGUGGGUGAUAAAAAGCUUCUUGAUGCUUUCUGAAGAGAAUUUGCUAGCAUUGCAAAAUCUAUUAAAUAUUGUAACAUU